rnacentral:rRNA from 1 species
UGAACGCUGGCGGCGUGCUAACACAUGCAAGUCGAACGCUGAAGCUCCCAGCUUGCUGGGGGUGGAUGAGUGGCGAACGGGUGAGUAUCACGUGAGUAACCUGCCCUUGACUCUGGGAUAAGCCCGGGAAACUGGGUCUAAUACUGGAUAGGACUGGCCAUCGCAUGGUGGUUGGUUGAAAGCUUUUGCGGUUUUGGAUGGACUCGCGGCCUAUCAGCUUGUUGGUGGGGUAAUGGCCUACCAAGGCUUUGACGGGUAGCCGGCCUGAGAGGGUGACCGGCCACACUGGGACUGAGACACGGCCCAGACUCCUACGGGAGGCAGCAGUGGGGGAUAUUGCACAAUGGGCGCAAGCCUGAAUGCAGCGACGCCGCGUGAGGGAUGACGGCCUUCGGGUUGUAAACCUCUUUCAGUUGGGAAGAAGCCUUUCGGGGUGACGGUACCUUCAGAAGAAGCACCGGCUAACUACGUGCCAGCAGCCGC